UGUAAUCCAUCUUGCCUAUAAUUUCUUAACAAUAUUCUUAAGAGCCAUUGCUCGCUAUUCAUGCACCCCUGGUCGCUGUCGACUGAAAAGAAUAAGAUGAUUAGUACAAUAUAUUCUGUCGCAAUUGUUUUUUUGUCAAACUAGUUCUCUUACAUUUGCGUAGCUCAGCCACCGCAUAAUUAGUGCACUCGCAUGAUGGGUGUGCAGGAAAACGCUCUAGUCUGAAUGUACUGAUAGUUCGUUCGUUGCUGUGAAUCGUUUUGUCUAACGGCAGAAAUGUUAAACUGAACAUCGAAAGAAAAGGAAACACAAUCAGAAAUUAAUGACGAUGCACAAUCUCGUUGAGCCUUAAUUGAACAACAUUCUGGGCGAUUCCAGCUAAUGACUUGGCUGUCUAUAUCGCCUGACAUGAAUCUCAUAGAAUAUUUAUAGUAUGUGAUCGGGAGAUCAGUUUACAAAAAAAUAAUGCACCCACAACACUUUUGCAAUUAUGGACAUCUAUUGAGGCUGGAUGGCUGAAUAUUCCUGCAAGAGGCUUCCAACUACUUGUAGAAUUCGUGCCCCGUCGAGUUACAGUUCUUCAUAGAGCUAGGGGAAGUCCAACAGGAUAUUAAGAGUGUUGAAAUGGUGCAAUUAGGCGCAUAAUUUGUUUAAAGUGGAAAAGUGCAUUUGUUUUGGUGUAGUGCAGAAUACCUCUAAUAGUGAAGAUCUUUAUUAUCGUAUAUCAAAAGCAGGUUCUAAUCAGGGCUCAAUAUUUAUUUGUAAAGUAUGCUCCUAUAGUGCAUCCAAUGCAGCUACACUAAAGCGUCACAUUCGAAUACACACUGGUGAAAGACCUUAUUUAUGUUCGUGGUGUGGUAAUUCUUUUCGAUUAAAACAUCAUUUAAAACAGCACAUGCUUGUCCAUAGGAAAGAUCUAUAGCUCAUUUAGUUGGUUAAUGUAUGAAUUUUAGUAAAUUAGUAUUGGAAAAAAAAAAAUCGAACAAUUUACAUUGUUGCUGUGUGAAAUGUGAUUUUAAUGUUGUAAGCUGAAGAUGUUAUUCUGAAAAAUUUCAAUGUUCUAUUAUUUCUAGCUUUUUAAAAUCAUUUUCUCUAUUUUAAAUUCUUUUUUUUUUUUGAAACUGUAUGAUUAGGGUAGUUGAAUCCUGUGUGACAGGUUGCCUUAGUCAUUUAAAAUUCAUAACUGGUGAAGUUUUACUUUUUCUCUAUGGUUUUUUCCCCCAUCAAUUUUAUAAAAUUUAUUAAUAUUUGAAAAAUGAUCUAAGCUUCAAGAAAUAUUUUAACCUUUCAUUCACCCUUUUCUUACAUGUGCAGGAACAGCUUAAUUGCACAUCAAAGCAAUGAUUGUUAAUACUUAAACUCACAGUCGUUGUGUAACUUGCACAGCAUGAGUUAUUGUUAAUUAUUUGAAAUAUAGUGAUGAACUGGCAUAAAUGCUGAGCUGACCAUGGUUCUAUUUCUAAUUUUGGCUUGAAACCCUGCACUCGGCAAUGCUGACCAUAUUGUGGUUGGUCUUAAAAUUGUGGAGCUUUAUUUUAAUCAACAAAUGGCAGUUACAGGAGUGCUUUUAUUAUUUCGAAUAAUUUUAUUUUUAUUCUAUUAGUUAGUAUAGGCUUUGAGAAAAAAUUGUUUUAAGUCUGGAGUGUUAGGUAUAUACUAUUUAUGGAAUGUAUUAUGACAUUUCAACCCUCUCUAUUUAUUCAAUUGUAUGGUAAGACCUCAUAGCUUUAGGAAUUUGGUUAUAGCUAUUUCACUUUGUAAUAUUCUUCUUUUUUUAUGCAAAUAUAAUUUAAUUAAAACUCUCUGCAAAUGUAAUUUAGUUAAAACUAUUUGCCAAUGAAAUUUAUGGCAGUUUUGUAUGAUAAAUUUUGUAAUUUCAAUGAAAUGAUUCAAAGAUUUUUUUUUUUUUUGUUACAGUCAGAUACUUGUUUUCAGUUCUUGUGUGUUUUUUUCAAAUUUCUUUUAAUUCUAACUGUUAAAGUCAUUCAAAAUAUCAAAAGAUAGAUAUUAAUUAAUGAAAACAUUUUAUUUAUUUUUUAUAUGAAGAUUAAAAAGUUAUUAAUAGCAGUUAAUAUCAAGAAAUUUUAUUUCUUGUAUUUUGUUGUUUUCUAUUUUAUUAUUAUUAUCUAAUUUUGAAAGACAAGCGAAAUUUUGUGUCUUUAAAUCAUGCUUCAGCGAAUUAAGUGUGUUAAUUUGAGUUUAAAUAAAGUUUGUGAUGUGAUGAGAUGACUUUUGAGCAAGCAAUAUUUAAAUUAACCAAGUUAAGUGUAGGUAAAUAAGAUUUCCAGAUCUAUCAACACAUUUUUGUCUGAUCUACAGUUGCGUAAUAUGAAGCUUAUUGUUUGUUUUUCUCGUAAAAAACCAAGCAUGUAUUUUUAGUAAAAUCUAACAGUUAUAAAAGUGUUACUACAUUAAUAGUUUCUAUUGAUGACAAAUUUUUCAAAAUAAUUUAAAUUUAUGUGCCUAUUAAAAUCAAGAUAAUUUAACUUUUACUGUCUAUAUGUAUUUUUUAAGAAAUAUUUACAAUUUAGCAAUAGAAUUUGCAAACUAUUCAGUUUUUUUUAAAAGCAUUUUUUAUGAAUGUUACACAAAAAUCACAUCUUGUAUUAUGACUUUUUAGGGAUGUUAUAAAAAAUUUAAAUAACAAUUAGUGAUUUCAAGUUGAUAUUAAAAUAGUAAAAAAUAAAACAUUGUUGAAACUUAAUGAAUCAGGAUAAAGUUCAACUGUCAGGAUUAUUAUAAGUAUAUAUGUGAUAAGCCCUAGGUACAUUUGUAUGGAAUUUUUCCCUCAGCACACUACAUUGUUAAUUAUUAUUAUUGUUAUUUUUUUAAAAAAAAGGAAAUAUUGGUUUCUUUUUUUGCUAUUGCAAUUUAAUUCUGUUUGGUGGUAUUUUUUAGUAUUCCUCAAAAAGGAAUUACUGAUCUGAACCAUUGAUUGUUAGCCAUAGUCACAAGCUAUGAAUAAUAAUAAUUUAGAGCAAGAUUUGUACUCUCUAAACUUUUUUGUUUUUUUUUAAAUAAUGGACUUUACAUUUGUUUAAUAUUUUUUAAUCCACACUAAUAUGAUUUACACUUUAGGAAUUAAAUUUUGUAUUUCAUAUGUUAAAUUAUUGAUUUUUUGACAUGAGUUUUUUAUGCAAAAGUUUUAGUUAAUCUGCAAAAUAUAUUUGUGUAGUGUUUCUUACCUUUAUAUAAAUUUAUCUUGAUUAUCUUAAAAUGUGAGAGCAAAUAAUGUUUUCUUAUGUAUUUAAAAUCAAUAUUUUAAUUAUUGUUGCAGAGAAUAAUUAAAGUCUAAAAUGCAAUUAUGUUCUUAUGAAUAACAUAUUUUAUUGUAUUUUCUACAUAACUUUUUUUUAUAUACAAUUUCUAGUUUUAUAUUAUUUUUGUAUUAUAGUUUUCGUGGCUUACUUGUACAUAUGUAAAUAAAUUAUUUAUAUGUAA
rnacentral:lncRNA from 1 species